CCUACGGGAGGCAGCAGUGAGGAAUAUUGGUCAAUGGUCGGGAGACUGAACCAGCCAAGCCGCGUGAGGGAUGAAGGUACAGAGUAUCGUAAACCUCUUUUGUCAGGGAACAAAGGCGGGGACGUGUCCCCGGAUGAGUGUACCUGAAGAAAAAGCAUCGGCUAACUCCGUGCCAGCAGCCGCGGUAAUACGGAGGAUGCGAGCGUUAUCCGGAUUUAUUGGGUUUAAAGGGUGCGCAGGCGGUCUGUUAAGUCAGCGGUGAAAGCCCGGGGCUCAACCCCGGCCCGCCGUUGAAACUGGCAGUCUCGAGUUGGAGAGAAGUAUGCGGAAUGCGCGGUGUAGCGGUGAAAUGCAUAGAUAUCGCGCAGAACUCCGAUUGCGAAGGCAGCAUGCCGGCUCCACACUGACGCUGAGGCACGAAAGCGUGGGUAUCGAACAGGAUUAGAUACCCUGGUAGUC
rnacentral:rRNA from 1 species